ensembl:snRNA
GUGUCGUAUGAAAGGAAAGAAGGUUAGCACUCCCCUUGACAAGGAUGAGAGAGGUCCUUGAGCUUUACAACACACAUAUGGUUAAGGCAUUGCCACAGCCACCUACUUUGUAGCAUCUAACCACUGUUUUUG